CUUUUCUACUGAAUCCAAACCUUGGCUGGAGAGUCAAAAGGCCUGCUCUUCUCCUGGCUCCAGACUCCUCCUUAUAGAAAACAAAGAAGAGCUGGAUUUUAUAAGCCCCCUGGCAACUUCUCACUGGAUAGGAUUGUCACGUGAGAAGACCGACAGAUUGUGGAUGUGGGUGAACGGUACAGCUUUUUCCACUGACUGGUUUGCAAUAAAUAAAGGAUACAUUGAUGGGAACUGUGCACUUGUCACAGGUGGAGAACUCUCCUCUGGUCCAUGCAAAGAUGAAAAGCGCUAUAUUUGUGAGCAGCUGGUUCUUUGGCCAAAGCCUGACAUAUCAGCAUGAAAUGGACCAUGGAAAUCAUAAAAUCUGGGGCAUCCCAAACACAAUGACAAAUAUAUCCCAAUAAAUACUACCACUUUCAACUUUCCCUCUUCAGAGGCUACAUUUAUGCUGUAAAAUUGUAACAC